UACGUAGGGUGCGAGCGUUGUCCGGAAUUAUUGGGCGUAAAGGGCUCGUAGGCGGUUUGUCGCGUCGGGAGUGAAAACACUGGGCUUAACUCAGUGCUUGCUUCCGAUACGGGCAGACUAGAGGUAUUCAGGGGAGAACGGAAUUCCUGGUGUAGCGGUGAAAUGCGCAGAUAUCAGGGGGAACACCGGUGGCGAAGGCGGUUCUCUGGGAAUGUCCUGACGCUGAGGAGCGAAAGUGUGGGGAGCGAACAGG
rnacentral:rRNA from 1 species